ACCGAGGGGCGGCCAAAUACAUGCAAGUCGAGCGAACAGAUAAGGAGCUUGCUCCUUUGACGUUAGCGGCGGACGGGUGAGUAACACGUGGGUAACCUACCUAUAAGACUGGGAUAACUUCGGGAAACCGGAGCUAAUACCGGAUAACAUUUGGAACCGCAUGGUUCUAAAGUGAAAGAUGGUUUUGCUAUCACUUAUAGAUGGACCCGCGCCGUAUUAGCUAGUUGGUAAGGUAACGGCUUACCAAGGCGACGAUACGUAGCCGACCUGAGAGGGUGAUCGGCCACACUGGAACUGAGACACGGUCCAGACUCCUACGGGAGGCAGCAGUAGGGAAUCUUCCGCAAUGGGCGAAAGCCUGACGGAGCAACGCCGCGUGAGUGAUGAAGGGUUUCGGCUCGUAAAACUCUGUUAUUAGGGAAGAACAAACGUGUAAGUAACUGUGCACGUCUUGACGGUACCUAAUCAGAAAGCCACGGCUAACUACGUGCCAGCAGCCGCGGUAAUACGUAGGUGGCAAGCGUUAUCCGGAAUUAUUGGGCGUAAAGCGCGCGUAGGCGGUUUCUUAAGUCUGAUGUGAAAGCCCACGGCUCAACCGUGGAGGGUCAUUGGAAACUGGGAAACUUGAGUGCAGAAGAGGAAAGUGGAAUUCCAUGUGUAGCGGUGAAAUGCGCAGAGAUAUGGAGGAACACCAGUGGCGAAGGCGACUUUCUGGUCUGUAACUGACGCUGAUGUGCGAAAGCGUGGGGAUCAAACAGGAUUAGAUACCCUGGUAGUCCACGCCGUAAACGAUGAGUGCUAAGUGUUAGGGGGUUUCCGCCCCUUAGUGCUGCAGCUAACGCAUUAAGCACUCCGCCUGGGGAGUACGACCGCAAGGUUGAAACUCAAAGGAAUUGACGGGGACCCGCACAAGCGGUGGAGCAUGUGGUUUAAUUCGAAGCAACGCGAAGAACCUUACCAAAUCUUGACAUCCUUUGAAAACUCUAGAGAUAGAGCCUUCCCCUUCGGGGGACAAAGUGACAGGUGGUGCAUGGUUGUCGUCAGCUCGUGUCCUGAGAUGUUGGGUUAAGUCCCGCAACGACCCCAACCCUUAAGCUUAGUUGCCAUCAUUAAGUUGGGCACUCUAGGUUGACUGCCGGUGACAAACCGGAAGAAGGUGGGGAUGACGUCAAAUCACCUGCCCCUUAGAAUUGGGCUAC
rnacentral:rRNA from 1 species